rnacentral:misc_RNA from 1 species
GCACAUAAAUCUCCACAAAGGCCAACUCCGUUUCAAGGCUGAGUACCACAGUACUAUAUAAUACUUUAAACAAUGCGAAGGUCUGCAGCUCUGCGCCGCCAUCCUUAUGCAAUAGACCCCAAGUCAUUUCGCUUGGAGGACAAGCGCGAGGCGGCACCACGCCGUUUCUCGAUGGCCCAAAUAGGACUGCAGAUCGCUCGCCAGGCGUGGCGCAAGACGCAGGACCUGUUUACGUUUCUGUUCCCUGAGGGCUACCGUGGCGGGCCUGGAAAAUGAAUUUUUGACCUCUCUUCGAUUCUGAGCUUUUCCGUCUUGGCUAUCACCACCUUGACGGACUAUUCACGAUUUUUUCGUUCUCUUUUUGUUUGUUCAACGUACCCAUUCUGCUGUAGCGCGACAAUCCAACUUCACUUUAUCUGGAGCUCGUCACACGCCUAUCGCGUGGUGCCAUGCAGCAGCAGACAAGUGCUACCGCAAUGCCCACGUGGGCACCGCAGCACAGCCUCUGCCUCACACUCUACCCGCCCCCCUGCCUCGCAGGUCAGGUCGCCUCACAGCCGCUCCCAUGGUGCCGGCAGCCACCUGAUGCAUCCCCCUCGAGGUGGCUCAGGCGCCCCACACCUGCAGGCAGUGCCAGGGCGGGGUGAAGAUGCAUUGGAGUGGCAUUGGCACUGUGCCCAUGAUGUGGAUGGCACACGCGUGUUCGCUGUCUCAGGCCGCUCCAACGCAACGCCGUCCACCACCCCACCGCCGACAUCAGCAGCCAUGCAUCGCUCUGGCAUCCUCAACCGCGUGGGUGAUUGUCGCUGGCACAACCAGAGUUGGCCCAGUAUUGGUAAGGUUAGGGGGGUGUCUGGCUUCAUAGAGUAUGUUCUGGACUCUUAUGCCACUCACUGAGGUGUCGCUGGCUAUUAAAGUCAAAAAGGUGGGCAUGGCAAAG